AAUAUAGAGGUGAUCUGGUUGCAAUAUAUAUCACCCCGCUUAUCUCAAGGGAUGCUUUGGCUGCUCAGGUUGGCUAGGCAGGCGUUCCAUACAACCCUCACGGCGCCACAUGUGUCCAUCCUGAAGCUGUUUAUGCUAUGGAACAGGAUGACCUUCCCUGAUAAAGUUGUACUAUUCUUUUGUCAAGUGUUUACAAGUAGCAGUGUGUUCCUCUGAUAGUGCCCCAGAAAAUCUCUGAUAAAUAACUCCCAAUUAGUACAUAAACUUAAACAUCAUAU
rnacentral:snRNA from 1 species